rnacentral:rRNA from 1 species
UGAAAACGACUGUUAAUAACCCGGAGUGUGUCCAAAAGGGGGAAAGAUUUAUCGCUUGAAGCACGGGCUCGCGUACUGGAUUAGGCUAGUUGGUGCGGUAAGAGCGUACCAAGGCGACGAUCCAGUAGCUGGUCUGAGAGGAUGAGCAGCCACACUGGGACUGAGGACACGGCCCAGACUCCUACGGGAGGCAGCAGUGGGGGAAUUUUCCGCAAUGGGCGAAAGCCUGACGGAGCAAUACCGCGUGAGGGAGGAAGGCCCUUGGGUUGUAAACCUCUUUUGUUUGGGAAGAAGAAAGUGACGGUACCAAACGAAUCAGCAUCGGCUAACUCCGUGCCAGCAGCCGCGGUAAUACGGAGGAUGCAAGCGUUAUCCGGAAUUAUUGGGCGUAAAGCGUCCGCAGGUGGCUGCUCAAGUCUGCUGUCAAAGACGGAAGCUCAACUUCCGAAAGGCAGUGGAAACUGAGAAGCUAGAGUCCGGUAGGGGUAGAGGGAAUUCCCAGUGUAGCGGUGAAAUGCGUUGAUAUUGGGAAGAACAUCGGUGGCGAAAGCGCUCUACUGGGCCGAGACUGACACUCAGGACGAAAGCAAGGGU